rnacentral:rRNA from 1 species
GACGAACGCUGGCGGCGUGCUUAACACAUGCAAGUCGAACGGAAAGGCCCUGCUUUUGUGGGGUGCUCGAGUGGCGAACGGGUGAGUAACCCGUGAGUAACCUGCCCUUGACUUUGGGAUAACUUCAGGAAACUGGGGCUAAUACCGGAUAGGAGCUCCUGCUGCAUGGUGGGGGUUGGAAAGUUUCGGCGGUUGGGGAUGGACUCGCGGCUUAUCAGCUUGUUGGUGGGGUAGUGGCUUACCAAGGCUUUGACGGGUAGCCGGCCUGAGAGGGUGACCGGCCACAUUGGGACUGAGAUACGGCACAGACUCCUACGGGAGGCAGCAGUGGGGAAUAUUGCACAAUGGGCGGAAGCCUGAUGCAGCAACGCCGCGUGCGGGAUGACGGCCUUCGGGUUGUAGACCGCUUUCGCCUGUGACGAAGCGUGAGUGACGGUAAUGGGUAAAGAAGCACCGGCUAACUACGUG